rnacentral:rRNA from 1 species
AGGACGAACGCUGGCGGCGUGCUUAACACAUGCAAGUCGAGCGGUAAGGCCCCUUCGGGGGUACACGAGCGGCGAACGGGUGAGUAACACGUGAGCAAUCUGCCCUUCACUUUGGGAUAACCACCGGAAACGGUGGCUAAUACCGGAUACGACCAGUCUCUGCAUGGGGUGCUGGUGGAAAGUUCUGGCGGUGGAGGAUGAGCUCGCGGCCUAUCAGCUUGUUGGUGGGGUAAUGGCCUACCAAGGCGACGACGGGUAGCCGGCCUGAGAGGGUGACCGGCCACACUGGGACUUGAGACAACCGGCCAGACUCCUACGGGAGGCAGCAGUGGGGAAUAUUGGACAAUGGGCGAAAGCCUGAUCCAGCAACGCCGUGAGUGAAGAAGGCCCUCGGGUUGUAAAGCUCUUUUGUCCGGAAAGAAAAGCUUUCGGUUAAUACCCGGAAGUCCUGACGGUACCGGAAGAAUAAGCACCGGCUAACUUCGUGCCAGCAGCCGCGGUAAUACGAAGGGUGCAAGCGUUACUCGGAAUUACUGGGCGUAAAGCGUGCGUAGGUGGUUUGUUAAGUCUGAUGUGAAAGCCCUGGGCUCAACCUGGGAAUUGCAUUGGAUACUGGCAGGCUAGAGUGCGGUAGAGGAUGGCGGAAUUCCCGGUGUAGCAGUGAAAUGCAUAGAGAUCGGGAGGAACAUCUGUGGCGAAAGGCGGCCAUCUGGAACCAGCACUUGACACUGGAGGCACGAAAGCGUGGGGAGCAAACAGGAUUAGAUACCCUGGUAGUCCACGCCCUAAACGAUGCGAACUGGAUGUUGGGAGCAACUAGGCUCUCAGUAUCGAAGCUAACGCGUUAAGUUCGCCGCCCGGGGAGUACGGUCGCAAGACUGAAACUCAAAGGAAUUGACGGGGGCCCGCACAAGCGGCGGAGCAUGCGGAAUUAAUUCGAUGCAACGCGAAGAACCUUACCUGGGUUUGACAUACCGCCGGAAAGCGCCAGGAGAUGGUGCCCCUUUUUGUCGGUGGUACAGGUGGUACAUGGCUGGUUGUCAGCUCGUGUC